rnacentral:lncRNA from 1 species
AACAUUUCUAGCUCAUACAGCAACAUUUAUAAAUGCCCCUAAAUUAAAGUUUUCUUGUAGUGACGAGCGAUUCGAUCUCGAGCUUAUUGUGAGCCGAACACGAGCUGGCUCGCGAACAGCGAGCUGAAUUACCACCCCUAGUCUAUAUCUAGUUCAUCUUUAUGUUAUUUUAUUAUGAAUUUAUCAAUUAUACAUUCAUCUCACAUAUAUAAUUUAAAAAUCAAAUUCUAUAUAAUUUUUUUUA